rnacentral:rRNA from 1 species
UGAACGCUGGCGGCAUGCCUUACACAUGCAAGUCGAACGGCAGCGCGGGGCAACCUGGCGGCGAGUGGCGAACGGGUGAGUAAUAUAUCGGAACGUACCCUGGAGUGGGGGAUAACGUAGCGAAAGUUACGCUAAUACCGCAUACGAUCUAAGGAUGAAAGUGGGGGCUUCGCAAGAACCUCAUGCUCCUGGAGCGGCCGAUAUCUGAUUAGCUAUUUGGUAGGGUAAAAGCCUACCAAGGCUUCGAUCAGUAGCUGGUCUGAGAGGACGACCAGCCACACGGGAACUGAGACACGGUCCAGACUCCUACGGGCGGCAGCAGUGGGGAAUUUUGGACAAUGGGCGCAAGCCUGAUCCAGCAAUGCCGCGUGAGUGAAGAAGGCCUUCGGGUUGUAAAGCUCUUUUGUCAGGGAAGAAACGGUGAGAGCUAAUAUCUCUUGCUAAUGACGGUACCUGAAGAAUAAGCACCGGCUAACUAC